UACGUAGGGGGCAAGCGUUGUCCGGAUUUAUUGGGCGUAAAGCGCGUGUAGGCGGCCAGGUAGGUCCGCUGUGAAAACCCGAGGCUCAACCUCGGGACGUCGGCGGAAACCAUCUGGCUAGAGUCCGGAAGAGGAAAGUGGAAUUCCUGGUGUAGCGGUGAAAUGCGCAGAUAUCAGGAAGAACACCAAUGGCGAAAGCAGCUUUCUGGGACGGUACUGACGCUGAGACGCGAAAGCGUGGGGAGCGAACAGG
rnacentral:rRNA from 1 species